CGUAAUAGCUCACUGGUCGAGUCGGCCUGCGCGGAAGAUGUAACGGGGCUAAGCUAUACACCGAAGCUGCGGCUACGUACCUUAGGGUAUGUGGGGUAGGGGAGCGUUCUGUAAGCCGUUGAAGGUGGUCUGUAAGGGCUGCUGGAGGUAUCAGAAGUGCGAAUGCUGACAUGAGUAACGAUAAAGGGAGUGAAAAACUCCCUCGCCGGAAGACCAAGGGUUCCUGUCCAACGUUAAUCGGGGCAGGGUAAGUCGACUCCUAAGGCGAGGCCGAAAGGCGUAGUCGAUGGGAAACGGGUUAAUAUUCCCGUACUUCUUACAAUUGCGAUGGGGGGACGGAGAAGGCUAGGUGGGCCUGGCGACGGUUGUCCAGGUUCAAGUAUGUAGGCGGAAAGUUUAGGUAAAUCCGGACUUUCUUAACGCUGAGAUACGAUGUCGAGCUACUACGGUAGUGAAGUCAUUGAUGCCAUGCUUCCAGGAAAAGCCUCUAAGCUUCAGAUUGUAAGGAAUCGUACCCCAAACCGACACAGGUGGUCGGGUAGA
rnacentral:rRNA from 1 species